CUGUGCAACUAUGUCAGUUACAUUUUUAAUUAACGAUGCCAAGUACUUGUUGUUGUGUACCUGGAUGUCAUUUAAGAGGAGGACAUGCAUUUCCAAAUGACUUAAAAAGAAGGAAAAGUUGGAUCAACGCCAUGGCCAAUACGCAGAUUGGACGAGAACACGAUGAAAUCGUGGAGUCCAUCUCAAAUUAUCAGCUGUUGUUUGCAAGGCACAUUUUACCGAAAAAGACUACGUGCAGGAAACUAUUCAUGGGCGCAAACCCACCAUACAGAGACUUAAGUCUACUGCCAUUCCCAGCCUAUUUUCCUGGACCAAGCAAGAGACUGAAUCGUCCGCAAAAAGAAAAAUCAGGGCAGUUUCCUGUGAAAACAAAAGAACUAAA